GGGUCGCGGACAGUGCCUGGUGGGUAGUUUGACUGGGGCGGUCUCCUCCCAAAGAGUAACGGAGGAGCACGAAGGUUGGCUAAUCCUGGUCGGACAUCAGGAGGUUAGUGCAAUGGCAUAAGCCAGCUUAACUGCGAGACGGACAGGUCGAGCAGGUACGAAAGUAGGUCAUAGUGAUCCGGUGGUUCUGAAUGGAAGGGCCAUCGCUCAACGGAUAAAAGGUACUCCGGGGAUAACAGGCUGAUACCGCCCAAGAGUUCAUAUCGACGGCGGUGUUUGGCACCUCGAUGUCGGCUCAUCACAUCCUGGGGCUGAAGUCGGUCCCAAGGGUAUGGCUGUUCGCCAUUUAAAGUGGUACGCGAGCUGGGUUCAGAACGUCGUGAGACAGUUCGGUCCCUAUCUGCCGUGGGCGUUGGAUGAUUGAAGGGAGUUGCUCCUAGUACGAGAGGACCGGAGUGAACGAACCUCUGGUGUUCGGGUUGUCACGCCAGUGGCACUGCCCGGUAGCUAAGUUCGGAAUCGAUAACCGCUGAAAGCAUCUAAGCGGGAAGCGAGCCCUGAGAUGAGUCAUCCCUGACCCCUUGAGGGUCCUAAAGGGCCGUUGGAGACCACAACGUUGAUAGGUGGGGUGUGUAAGCGCGG
rnacentral:rRNA from 1 species